CCCUUAGAUGUUCUGGGCCGCACGCGCGCUACACUGACGAAUGCAACGAGCUUAUAACCUUGGCCGAAAGGUCUGGGUAAUCUCCAAAUUUCGUCGUGAUGGGGAUAGAUUAUUGCAAUUAUUAAUCUUCAACGAGGAAUGCCUAGUAAGCGCAAGUCAUCAGCUUGCGUUGAUUACGUCCCUGCCCUUUGUACACACCACCCGUCGCUCCUACCGAUUGAGUGAUCCGGUGAAUAAUUCGGACUGCAGCACUGCUUGGUCUCCAGGCUUUGCAGCGGAAAGUUUAGUGAACCUUAUCACUUAGAGGAAGGAGAAGUCGUANCA
rnacentral:rRNA from 1 species